AGAGUUUGAUCCUGGCUCAGAGCGAACGUUAGCGGCGCGCCUAACACAUGCAAGUCGCACGAGAAGGGGGCAACCCCUGAAAGUGGCGCACGGGUGCGUAACACGUAGAUAAUCUGCCCUUCGGCGGGGGAUAACGUUCCGAAAGGAGCGCUAAUACCGCAUACAGCGUUUGGUGGUUCGCCACCGGAUGGCAAAGGCUGGGAUCGCAAGACCAGACACCGAAGGAGGAGUCUGCGGCCCAUCAGCUAGUUGGUAAGGUAACGGCUUACCAAGGCAAAGACGGGUAGCUGGUCUGAGAGGAUGAUCAGCCACACUGGUACUGGAACACGGACCAGACUCCUACGGGAGGCAGCAGUGGGGAAUCUUGGUCAAUGGGCGAAAGCCUGAACCAGCGACGCCGCGUGAGUGAUGAAGGCCUUCGGGUUGUAAAGCUCUGUGAGGAGAGACGAAAGAAUCGGUUCUAACAGGACCGAAGUUGACGGUAUCUCCUUAGCAAGCACCGGCUAACUCUGUGCCAGCAGCCGCGGUAAGACAGAGGGUGCAAACGUUGCUCGGAAUCACUGGGCGUAAAGGGCGUGUAGGCGGGAAGGUAAGUCGGGCGUGAAAUCCCUGGGCUCAACCCAGGAACUGCACUCGAAACUACUUUUCUUGAGUGCCGGAGAGGAAAGCGGAAUUCCUGGUGUAGAGGUGAAAUUCGUAGAUAUCAGGAGGAACACCAGUGGCGAAGGCGGCUUUCUGGACGGUAACUGACGCUGAGACGCGAAAGCGUGGGGGAGCAAAACAGGAUUAGAUACCCUGGUAGUCCACGCCGUAAACGAUGUCUACUAGCCGUUGGGGCCUUUGAGGCUUUAGUGGCGCAGCUAACGCGAUAAGUAGACCGCCUGGGGAGUACGGUCGCAAGACUAAAACUCAAAUGAAUUGACGGGGGCCCGCACAAGCGGUGGAGCAUGUGGUUUAAUUCGAUGCAACGCGAAGAACCUUACCUGGCCUUGACAUAGUAAGAACUUUCCAGAGAUGGAUUGGUGCCUUCGGGAACUUACAUACAGGUGCUGCAUGGCUGUCGUCAGCUCGUGUCGUGAGAUGUUGGGUUAAGUCCCGCAACGAGCGCAACCCCUAUCGUUAGUUGCCAUCAGUUCGGCUGGGCACUCUAACGAGACUGCCGGCGUCAAGCCGGAGGAAGGUGGGGACGACGUCAAGUCCUCAUGGCCCUUAUGUCCAGGGCUACACACGUGCUACAAUGGACGGUACAGAUCGUUGCGAGCUCGUAAGAGUAAGCCAAUCGCAAAAAGCCGUCCUCAGUACAGAUUGCACUCUGCAACUCGAGUGCAUGAAGUCGGAAUCGCUAGUAAUCGCUGAUCAGCAGGCAGCGGUGAAUACGUUCCCGGGCCUUGUACACACCGCCCGUCACACCAUGGGAGUUUGUUGCACCAGAAGUAGCUAGCCUAACUGCAAAGAGGGCGGUUACCACGGUGUGGCCGAUGACUGGGGUAAGUCGUAACAAGGUAACC
rnacentral:rRNA from 1 species